rnacentral:lncRNA from 1 species
GGAAGGCUUGUUGGUUCCUAGGAUGGCUUUACAGCCUUUGUUCUUUGCUCUAAGCCCAAAAAGUCCCCUAACUAGCAAGCCACAUGAGACAUGGACCUUGAAUAAACUUUCUGGCUAGGGCUUUAAAGUCUUGAAUUUAGUUUUCUUUCUUUCAAAAGCAAGUCAAACAUAUGUAAGAGCUACAACUUUUAAGAUUUUUAGAGGUUAGCAUGGUAGUAAACACCAUAUUUGACAGGAAGUUCUUGGACAUGGUACCGAAAAAGCAAAAACAAAAGUACUAAAAAUAAGUAAGGUGGAUCUUGCAAAAAUUAAAACUUAUGUAUAUCAGUGGAUAUUAUUGAUAUAGGGAAAGGCAAACCACAAAAUGGGAGAGAUAUUCUAAACAAUAAGAAAAGCUUUUUAUCAGACUUUGGCGUCUAGAAGGUAGAAGUUAGACCUAAAGCCAGUCAAUUAACCAACCAACCAGACUAAAAAAUCAAAGGCAGUGUUGAGUGUCUGUGACAAAUGUGGAUGGUAUACAGGACUUUAAGUAGCAUAUUUUGGAAGGGGGAGCCUUGCUAGAGUAGAUGAGGAGAUGGGAGGUGAAGUGUUUCAAACUCUAGUUUAUUGACAGUGGAACCAGGAUUCCGGAGGGUGCAAUGAAUAGACUUGGUAGGGAAAGAACAGAGGAUGAGCAAUAGAAAGAAAUAGGAAGAUUUUAAAGAGUUAGUGUUAAUAUGCUUAUAGCUCCUUAUUGUAUGAUCUAAAUAUUUUGGUAUUACCUAAUAUCUCUUCAAUCAGUUACUGAUGAUUUUUAUGUACAUGCUUCCGCUGGUUAUUGACUUAGACAACUGGACUCUUGUUUGUGGUUUCGUUUAUGGAGUCAAAGCUUUUGUCAGAAUGGAUGUGCUGUGCUUAUUGAGAAUGGGACAAGAAAUGGAAGGAAUUUUUUUUGAAAAUUUAUUUAUAUUAUGUAUAUGAGUACACUGUAGCUGUCUUCAGACACAUUAGAAGAAGUAUCAGAUCCCAUUACAGAUGGUUGUGAGGCACCAUGUGGUUGCUGGGAAUUGAACUCAGGACCUCUGGAAGAGCAGUCAGUGCUCUUAACCACUGAGCCAUCUCUCCAGCCCGGAAGGAAUUUUUAAAAAAGAUUUAUUUAUUUAUUAGAUGUAAGUACACUGUAGCUGUCGCAGAAGAAGACAUCAGAUCCCAUUACAGAUGGUUGUGAGCUACCAUGUGGUUGCUGGGAAUUGAACUCAGGACCUUCCGAAGAGCAGUUGGUGCUCUUAACCACUGAGCCAUCUCUCCAGCCCCAAGGGAGGAAUUUUAAUUUGAUUUAUUAUGUAUGCUUUUAAUUCUGUAUUCUCUUUUAUGUAUGUGUGUAUAGGUUAAAUGUAUCUUUAGAAUACAGUAUGAAGAGGUAUUAUAUAUUCAAAGACCUAUUGAAGAAGAUCGAAGAAAAUUUUUCCAAGAACUUAUUCUCCAUCAGGCGUCAAUGGCACCACCACGAAGGAAACAUACUGGUAAGUCCCAAAGCUUUACACUAAAAAGACAAUGGAAUUAAAAAAUAUUCAAGUCAUCAGUCUUGGUGGCAAACAGCCUUACCCACUGAGCCAUCCCCUGGCCUAGAUAGACAUAUUGAAAAUGGCUGUGUGUACCUAAUCCAAGGUUGAGUACAUCUUUGUUAAAGUUUUAUUAACCCCAACUUCAGAAAUUCUCCUUUUAAAGUUACAUAAAAAACGAGGUCCUAUUGCUAAUCUUUCAGCCUCUACAAGAAAACACCAUUUUUUUGAUAAAACAAUUUUAAGCCUAUAUUCUGUAUUCAACAGCUCAGAAAGCCAAGAGGAAAAAGUUAUCAGUUUUUUCUAUGUUUUCCUCUUUGAAGUACCUGGUUCUUGAAAUGGCAGGAUAUGAAUAACAGGUUAUUGAUUCCUUUGUGGAGCGGGGCAAGUUUGAUAAUCUGAGAGGUGGUAUAUCACUUUUCUCUUGUUACAAAAUGCCUGACACAAAUAAGGAAGGGUUUGCAUAAAUGCAGUUGAUUCCGAUAAGAAAGCACACACAACAGUGGCGGGAGAGCAAGACAUUGGUCACACUGAGUGGGGAGUGCUGGUGCGGUGUGCUUCCUCUUGUGUGGGCCCGGACCGUGGAGUGUGUUGUUUACACUGGAGGUGUCCACUGGAGGUCUCUGCUCACAGACACAACCAGAGCUGAAUCUCCUGGGUGAUUCCAUAUCCAGUCAUGUUGACAGUGGAAUUUAACAACAAAAGCUGGUUAGAAUGUGGUCUUUUCUGGUUUACUUGCUAAUUUAAAAAUAUUUAUUUAGUAUAUAUUAUGUGGUAUUUGAAAGGCUACCAUAGCCCUGUUUUAAGCAUUUUAUUUUUCUUGGGUUUGGAAAUGCUUGCAUAGCUCUUAGAAAACCCCAAGGAUUUGUUGGGUUCUAGGCUGUCGUAAGGAAGGACUGACAUGGAGGAAGCUUUCUUUUCCUCCUUUUAAAGUUACAGAAAAAACGAGGUCCUAUUGCUAAUCUUUCAGCCUCUACAAGAAAACACCAUUUUUUGAUAAAACAAUUUUAAGCCUAUAUUUCCUUGUUCUAUUUUUUUAAAUGUCAUUAUAAUUAAUUCUUGGAAAAUCUCAUACAUGCAUAAGUGCACUUUAAUAUGCACCCCCACUCUUCUCCCACCCUCUUCCAGAUUCACUCUCUAUCCCCUUAGUCCCUCCCGUUCCUUUUCAUUUAUCCUAACUGUUCUUAUCGAUACUAAAUAUUUUUUCUCUUUCUUCUUAUCUUUUCAUAAAUAUCUACUUGUUUGGGUUUUUGUUGUUUAUGUGUUAUAUUGUUAAUAUAUCAAAUAUAUUUACCUUGAUAACAGUUUAUUUUACUUUUUUAUAUACACGUAGAUAAAUAUGUGUUUAGUCUCAUCAAUUCUGUUUCAGCAUCUCAGUGCUGGGAUGGAGUCACCAUGUCUGGCUUAAAUUUUCUGUUUCUCUGUAUUUUUUUCUUUAUGCUUAAAAUUUUUAUUUACUGUGUUUGUGUGAUGGACGACUAUGGUUAUUUCUUUUUACCUUUAUGAGGGUUUUGGAGAUUGAACUCAAGUCUCUAAGGCAAGUAUUUUACCCAUUAAGCCAUCUUUAUGGUUUUUUGCGACAGAGUCUUUCUCUAUAGCCCUGGCUGGACUUGAACUCAUGAUUGGGUGGUUCAUUGACUUUCAGUUUUCAUGGAAAGACCCUGUGACAAUACUUACUAUUUGAGUCCUGAACUUUAGUAUGAUGGCAAGAAAAAAAAUUUUUUUAUUAAAAGUUAAGCUUUAUGAAACACACACACACUCUCCUCUUCCUCCUCCUCCUCUUCUUUUUUUUCUUCUUCCUCUUCUUCCUCUUCCUUUUUUUUUUUUUAAGAAAGAUUCUCAGCCACAUAGCUCUGACUCUCCUAGAACUCACAGAUGUCCACCCACCUCUGCUCCCAGAGUACUAGGAUUAAAGGUGUGUGCCGCCACAUUGAGCUUGAAAGAUCAUUUUGUAAUUCAGUUCAUACAGCUGACAAAGGACCGUGAAGAAGACAGGAUGGACAUCUCUCAGCACCUUACAGC